rnacentral:rRNA from 1 species
ACGAACGCUGGCGGCGUGCUUAACCCAUGCAAGUCGAACGGAAAGGCCCUGCUUUUGUGGGGUGCUCGAGUGGCGAACGGGUGAGUAACACGUGAGUAACCUGCCCUUGACUUUGGGAUAACUUCAGGAAACUGGGGCUAAUACCGGAUAUGAGCUCCUGCUGCAUGGUGGGGGUUGGAAAGUUUCGGCGGUUGGGGAUGGACUCGCGGCUUAUCAGCUUGUUGGUGGGGUAGUGGCUUACCAAGGCUUUGACGGGUAGCCGGCCUGAGAGGGUGACCGGCCACAUUGGGACUGAGAUACGGCCCAGACUCCUACGGGAGGCAGCAGUGGGGAAUAUUGCACAAUGGGCGGAAGCCUGAUGCAGCAACGCCGCGUGCGGGAUGACGGCCUUCGGGUUGUAAACCGCUUUCGCCUGUGACGAAGCGUGAGUGACGGUAAUGGGUAAAGAAGCACCGGCUAACUACGUG